UAUAUUUUGUCCUUUAUCAUCAGCUUUUGUAUCCUGAAUCUUGCCAGAGACAGUAUCCUGAUUUAUAUUUUGUCCUUUAUCAUCAGCUUUUGUAUCCUGAAUCUUGCCAGAGACAGUAUCCUGAUUUAUAUUUUGUCCUUUAUCAUCAGCUCUUGUAUCCUGAAUCUUGCCAGAGACAGUAUCCUGAUUUAUAUUUUGUCCUUUAUCAUCAGCUCUUGUAUCCUGAAUAUUGCCAGAGACAGUUUCCUGAUUUAUAUUUUGUCCUUUAUCAUCCACUCUUGUAUCCUGAAUCUUGCCAGAGACAGUAUCCUGAUUUAUAUUUUGUCCUUCAUCAUCAGCUUUUGUAUCCUGAAUCUUGCCAGAGACAGUAUCCUGAUUUAUAUUUUGUCCUUUAUCAUCAGCUCUUGUAUCCUGAAUCUUGCCAGAGACAGUUUCCUGAUUUAUAUUUUGUCCUUUAUCAUCAGCUCUUGUAUCCUGAAUCUUGCCAGAGACAGUAUCCUGAUUUAUAUUUUGUCCUUUAUCAUCAGCUUUUGUAUCCUGAAUACUGCUAGAGACAGUAUCCUGAUUUAUAUUUUUUCUUUUAUCAUCAGCUUUUGUAUCCUGAAUCUUGCCAGAGACAGUAUCCUGAUUUAUAUUUUGUCCUUUAUCAUCAGCUCUUGUAUCCUGAAUCUUGCCAGAGACCCCCCCCCCCCCCCCUCUUUGCGACUGUCACCCUACAGGCUGGAUCCGGCCCUGAACACAAGAAGUCAAUUUUGUGGAAGAAUCAAUUUAUAAUGCAGAGAGCCAAACAGACAUGUCAGGAACUGACAUUAUAAUUUUGCAGGCUGAAUGUCAUGCAUUGCAAAAAUAAUUGCAUAUGUUGAGGAAAGCAAAUGCUAAUCUUGCUUUUGGCACUGAAGCUUACUUUGACUCAGAUGAUAAAGUCUUAUUGUACUCAGGGCUUCCAAAUAAAACAUUACUAAAGACAUUGUUUCAGUUUUGUAAACCAGUGAUCACAGUUAAUGCUAAUUCAAACCUUUGCCAUUUCAAGAAAUGGUGCUUACCCUCUGCAGAUUGAGGCUCAACUUGAAUAUAAUACAGAUUUAAUGUGUCAUACACAACAGUCUCUAAAAUAUUCCACAAAUGGAUAGACAUUUUAUUUUGCAGACUGCAGAAGAUGAUAAAAUGGCCUGAACGAGAACAGCUUAUCGAAACAACACCCAUGUCUUCUUGCAAGAUUGUUUUGAAGUCUUCACACAUCGUCCAACAAAUCUCAAAGCACGUGCUCAAACUUGGUCAUCAUAUAAACAUCACAACACAGCUAAAUUUCUGAUAGGCAUCUGCCCACAAGAUGUAAUUUCCUUCAUUUCAAAUGCUCUGGGUGGCAGAGCCAGCGACAAAUACAUCACUGAACACUGUAAUUUGCUUGAUAAUCUACUGCCAGGAGAUUUUGUUUUAGCUGAUCGUGGCUUUGAUAAGUGAAUCAGUUGGAUUUUACUAUGCUGAAGUUAAAUUGCCUGCUUUUACGAGGGGAAAAAAGCAAUUAUCUGCAAUGGAUGUUGAGUACCGCAGGAGAAUUGCAUCCAUAAGAAUUCAUUUUGAACGUGUUAUAUACCUGCUUCGCAACAAAUAUAGCAUUUUACAAUCAACACUUCCACUAGAUUAUAUGAUUAAAUAACAGUUUAUGUACUAUUGACAAAAUUGCAACUGUUUGUGCAGCACUUUGCAACUGGUGUCCAUCUGUUAUACCAUUUGAUUGCCUUUUUCCUUGUAAAAUUGUUAAGUUCUUUUGACAAGGAACAGUCUGGACAAAACCAUUUUUUUCUUUUGGGUGCUUCUACGAGCUCUAAACAUUCCAUAUGAAACCAUUCAUAUGGGCAGUGUUCAUUGUCACAUGCAAUCAUGGUGCCCUUUUCUGGGCCUUCACAGUAACAAAAUGUGUCCCUGGGAGAUUCAUUAUCUUGUGACAGAGAUACCUUGGGUACAGGGGUUCUUGGUCUUUAGUAAAAUUUCCCAAGUAGUUCUACCAUGACUGAAUUGAAAAAUAUACAUCUAGAUUUCACAAUGCAUUCAUCAAUAAAUUUUGAUUCAAAUGUGAUUCUUUCCAGAAACCAAUCUUUUUCAGUCCAGAUAAAGAGGUCACAAUACCGCCUGUUUGUCCAAAACAUUUGAGCUUGAACUUGAUAGAAGUAUGGAUGUCCUCUUUAAUCUGGUCUCUUGUCCAUCAUCUGUUAAACAAAAUUUGCUUUGGGAACUUAUGGCUUCAAAAAAAAAUUGGUGCCUGGCCAGCCAUGAUUCUCCAAGGCCAGCCAUGCAGUUACAAUGUGCUGAUAAAAUACUUCACGGAUUCCUGCAUUUUAUGCACUGGGAUUUUAACCCCAGCCGAUCAAAAUUAUGUAGAUGGUAAAGCGCAAGCAAGAACCGAGCUUCGUAAGCUUCUUUUCGAGGUGUCUGAGUCGUCAGAUUACAUUUGCAAGAAGUGCCUCGCUUUGCUGAAAAAACGGAAAUCGCUACAAGAACACUUUCGCGAAAUUGACACAUGAUUAAUUGGUCUUUUAAACUGAAAUGCCCAACUAAGCGGCAAAAUAUUGACGACUCUCUCAACAUUUUUGACCAAGAAGUGGAAGUUCAAAAUAAUGAUCAGUUACAAAAUAUACUUUCUCUGUCACCUAUUCCUAAAGAAAGAAAAACGCCAGCCGUCAGUAAAAAGGAAGCAUCAGGCCCUGGGUCAUUUUUCACAAGUACACCAGUAAAGUCAAAGCUAGAAAAAAAAUCGAUGGAAGCGGUGAAAAGAAGGUUAAAGUAAAUGUUACUGUUGAAUGGCCUUCAAAAACGUUAUGCAAAAUGGCAAAAUGUUAUGCAGAGGUAGAGGAAACCAAAUUGCUCGUGCUGCUUGGAAGAGCCCUGCACUUCGCAAGCAUUUACUGUAAGAAGUGCUUAAAGAGAUAAAUAGAGAAGCCCUGCAACUAUGCAGAAAAUCAAAGCCAAGCUGCUUAAGAAAGACAAACCCAGAUGAUAUUGUGGGAUUCUCUUUCGAAAGUUUGAUGAAAGAGCUUGAUGAGUCUGCACCAGUUUUGAAAACCCUAUUAAUAGGAGCAUCAAUUUGUCCAGAAUAGCAAGGAAAUGAUGUUAACUGGAUAAAUGCUGUUGGGGUUGCUAAUUGUGUGCUCCUUCAAAAUCGUUCCCAAAACAUGAAUGCCUUUCAGCUAAUGCUGUCAAUACUUAUUCAGCAUUCUGGAUUCAUGGUAUGUUUACAACGUUAUUUAAUUUUAAACAAGUGAUGGUAUGAUUUUGUUUUGAAUUGUGUAAACAUCUAUUGGGUUUACAGCAGGUUCUAGCUAUUUCAAAGGUUAUUAGCUUUACUGUACAAGGAAAAGCAUUGAAUAUGGUAUUGGUACCAUCUCUCGCCAUAUUUGAACCCUUCAUAUUUAAACUAGAUUAAAACAAUUUUUUUAAUAAUUUUUCAGCAUUCUUUGUUAUUUUGAUUGUGUACUGUCAACUAUCUUCUUAGAUGAUGUCUUUUUGUAGGGUCUACAAGGAAGGCUUAAGUCACUACGCCUUGCACCACCCCAUACACAUUUUUAUCAUAAGCUGGAUCAGUUUGGUAAGGUUCAUGAUGCUUUUAUAAAAGAAACACUAAAAAAAGAAUGUGACAGAUUGCAGUGUCAAAAUAAAUCAAUAAAUCCAGAAGAAAAGGAGAGAGUGAUAGUCCCAAACAAGCACGCCACAACUCCUACCCCUCAUUAUCUGCCAGACAGUGGACGCAAAAUUGUUUUAGAUAAUAUUGAUUAUCACUAGCACACCCACUUAAUGACUGAAGAUUUCAAGGACCCAGACCUCCACUUUUGCAGCUUUUUGGACAGAAAAUAGAGUUCCAGGGAACCACUUGACAGACCUACAACCAUUAAGCAACCUCAUGAAAUUGGAGAAUGGCGUUUUCAUUCCAAACAAAAUGGAACAUCACGUGCAAAGGAAUGACUAUGUCCAACUGGUUUCAAGAUACAUUACAGAAGAGAUACCCUGUCUUGAAUUCCUACAAGAUGUAGUAACUUGGCAUAUAAGUCAUCGUUAUUCAUCAGAGAUGAAGCAAUAGACAAAGACAACAUUCCUUGGCAUUAUUUAUGAGAAUCAAAACAAAGAAGAUGGUAUGCAAAAAAUAAUUGAAAAGGUGCACCAGUAUGUCCCUUAUUUUUUGGAGAAUAAUGACAAAACGUUUUCUGAACAAGCUGUUGUUGGAGACCAGCUAACUGUUGAAAGAGGGAUAAACAGCCUGAUGGAUGUAGCUAAUGGUUUUGAAGCAGAAGAAAGAAGGGAAGGAUUGCAUUUUAAAAUUGCAGAUUUUCAUGGUGGCAUGAAAUUUCUAGAGGUAGUUUUCAAUUAUAUUGUAGAAAAAGGUGAUCCUUUAAUUUUAACCAAACUGAAUAACUUUUUCAUAAUAAAUCACUCUAGUUCUUAUCAAUUAGAUUGAAUGGUUUUGUGGUUAAUUUUAUGGUGGCCAACCCUUUAUAGAAACCUAAUCGUGAAUAUCUAGAGGAAUCAUUUUGGACUCCCAUUUUGAUUCCCCUGUUUAUGAAUUGUAUUGAAUUUGAUGAUGGUUUUAUAUUUAUAAUGCCCUAGAAUUCUGCUUAUGAAAGAAUUCUUAGUAGAUUUUUGUUGAAUAUCACUUUAUCUUAUCACAAUGUACCUUUGGAAAGGGAAACAGUCCUCACCUUCAAAUCCUUAAAAAAAAUUUGU